AAUUUUGGGCAAUGGGCGAAAGCCUGACCCAGCAACGCCGCGUGAGGGAUGAAGUAUUUCGGUAUGUAAACCUCGAAAGAAUGGGAAGAAUAAAUGACGGUACCAUUUAUAAGCUCCGGCUAACUACGUGCCAGCAGCCGCGGUAAUACGUAGGGAGCAAGCGUUGUUCGGAUUUACUGGGCGUAAAGGGCGCGUAGGCGGCGCGGUAAGUCACUUGUGAAAUCUCUGAGCUUAACUCAGAACGGCCCAGUGAUACUGCUGUGCUAGAGUGCGGAAGAGGCAACCGGAAUUCUUGGUGUAGCGGUGAAAUGCGUAGAUAUCAAGAGGAACACCGGAGGCGAAGGCGGGUUGCUGGGCCGACACUGACGCUGAUGCGCG
rnacentral:rRNA from 1 species